rnacentral:rRNA from 1 species
AUUGAACGCUGGCGGCAGGCCUAAUACAUGCAAGUAGAACGAGAGGCGGACGGGUGAGGAAUGUCUUGGAAACUGCCUGAUUGAGGGGGAUGACUACUGGAAACGGUAGCUAAUAACGCCUACCAUCGGAUGUGCCCAUAUGGGAGUAGCUAGUAGGGGGGGUAAAGGCUCACCUAGGCGAAGAGCCCGAGCUGGUCUGAGAGGAUGACCAGCCACACUGCAACUGAGACACGGUCCAGACUCGUACGGGAGGCAGCAGUGGGGAAUAUUGCACAAUGGGCGAAAGCCUGAUGCAGCCAUGCCGCGUGUAUGAAGAAGGCCUUCGGGUUGUAAAGUACUUUCAGCGGGGAGGCGUUACCCGCAGAAGAAGCACCGGCUAACUCCGUGCCAGCAGCCGCGGUAAUAC